rnacentral:rRNA from 1 species
UACGGAGGGUGCGAGCGUUGUUCGGAAUUAUUGGGCGUAAAGCGCGCGCAGGCGGCUUUCUAAGUCCACGGGUGAAAUGCCGGGGCUCAACCCCGUGCAUGCCCAGGAUACUGGGGAGCUGGAGACACGUAGAGGCAAGCGGAAUUCCGGGUGUAGCGGUGGAAUGCGUAGAGAUCCGGAAGAACACCGGAGGCGAAGGCGGCUUGCUGGGCGUGAUCUGACGCUGAGGCGCGAAAGCGUGGGGAGCGAACAGGAUUAGAAACCCCCGUAGUCC